GUGCUCGCUCCGGCAGCACGGACACUAAAACUGGAACGACACGGGAAGAUGAGCGUGGCCCCCGCACAAGGAUGGCUGCAAAUCCACGAAGCGUUCCGUAUUUUC
ensembl:snRNA U6 U6 spliceosomal RNA